rnacentral:lncRNA from 1 species
AGCCCCACUUCUUGGCACUGACCUCGCUGGAGGAGUCGAAGGUGAAUCUCCACAGCGUUGGUCCUCAUAGAAAAGCCGGGGGAAAAGCCUGCUCGACACACGAGGAAUAUUCCUGGACAAUGGCAAGGGUGGCUUACCCUUGACCCUGGGAAAGGCCAAGCAGCAACAGAAUAGACUUUCUCCAACUCUGGCUCCAAAGAGCCUGUUUUUUCCCUACCCUUCUGGGUUUCCCCACCUACUUUCUGACGGAGCCCGCCAUCACUUGUCGAACAGCACCUGAAUGGGGGAGUGAGGAUGAAGAAAAAUAAAGACAAAGAGAUAGAGUCGGGAGGGCUCCCAGAGACCGAGCACUCAAGUUUAUUUUUCGCCUCUCUUUUAUACAGCAGAACGUUCAUCACGUUCCAGGGCAAUCUACUUCGGCAAGGACGCGGUUCCUCAUGACAUAGUCUCCUUGCUCUAUACAAUGGAGGGUAAGAUUCAAAAUGGAGCCUCUUUGGCUAACACCGCUCUCCACAACUUUUAACAAAUGUAAAACUUUGCCACCACUAAAAAACAACAACAAAGUAAAACUAGAAACCCCGUCUGAUCCGGCUAGUCUCCUUCUAGGAAUCUUCCCGGAAGAGUUGAAGACCUCGUUUUAUGGUGAUCCAUGCACAUGGACCAUGUUUAUAGCUGC